GAGUUUUCCCCCUUUAGUUUUGGAAGGAUUUGGCGAUUUCACUUCUAUCCUACAUCUGUGAACAAAACAGCAAGAUUUCACACUGAUUUCUUACAAGCUAAGAACAAAAGACAUUUGACUGUAACAUGUCUUCGUGUGAACAGCUUUUGAAGCAUCCCAUUAGUGUGGACAGCUUUUCUUUUUUUUUUUUUUUUUUGGUUUUUCGAGACAGGGUUUCUCUGUGUAGCCCUGGCUGUCCUGGAACACACUCUGUAGACCAGGCUGUUCUGGAACUCAGAAAUCCACCUGCCUCUGCCUCCUGAGUGCUGGGAUUAAAGGCGUGCGCCACCACGCCCAGCGACUUGUUACUUUUAAAUAUCUUGUAUCUCUUGUGAAGUUCCCAGUCUGUCAAUAUAUUGCCUUCCUCACCUCCCUGAGUUUGGCUGUAAGCAUCCUUUUGAACACUAUGUUAGGUAAAUCUCUUAUCUCCAUUUCAUUAUGGAGAGUUUACGGGGAUUUUAAUUACUGUCAGUUGGAAUAGAUUUUCCAGUUUCUACAUGUUUUUUUUUCAAUCCCUCUCUGUGCAUUUCUGUAUAUUAAAUAAAGGAGUUGGGUAUCCAGAUUUCUGUGGGCUGUUCUUGGGUAGGAGUCUCUCUCUCUCUGUCUCUCUGUCUCUCUCUCUCUCUCUGUCUCUCUCUCUCUCUUUGUUUGUCUCUCUGCCUUUCAGUCCAGGUGCCUCUUGAUUAAAAAAAAAAAAAACCACUGUGUUUUGUUCUUAGCAGUUUGUAAGAAAUCACAGUGUGGGGCUGGAGAGACGGCUCAGUGGUUAAGAGCACUGACUGCUCUUCCGAAGGUCCUGAGUUCAAAUCCCAGCAACCAUAUGGUGGCUCACAACCAUCCGUAAUGGGAUCUGACGCCCUCUUCUGGUGUGUCUAAAGAUAGCUAUAGUGUACAUAUGUAUAAUAAUAAAUAAAUCUUUGGGCCAGAGCGAGCAGAGGUCCUGAGUUCAAUUCCCAGCAACUACGUGAUGGCCCACAACCAUCUUUACAGCUACAGUGUACUCAUAUACAUAAAAUAAAUAAAUCUUUA
rnacentral:lncRNA from 1 species